CAAACUAUACUUUCAAGGGUCAUUUCUAUAGUUUUUUACUAGAGAAGUUUCUCUGAACAUGUACAGUACCCAAAACCACGAGGAGGAGGCAGAAAAAAAUAACCUCUUCCAGACCCUGCUUUCAAUUCUUCUGGGUGUAUACCCAGAGGUGGA
rnacentral:snoRNA from 1 species